ACGUUGCCCUGCGGUCACAUGACCACGUACGGACUGUGGCGGCAUAACGCCACAAACUCUACACACGUAGCAGACGAGGAAUGAAAAAAACGGGGGCAUUUUCGAGAAAUUUCAUCUUACUUCGGAGUCCGACAACAUUGACAUAGCAUUAGCAUGGAUAUCUCCGUCUUCUUACUUUUGUCUUUAGCAAAAGCCGAAGAUGGCCACUAAGAAGAUGGGCUAAGUGAAGUAUGACAUCAGGCUGGUAGGUCCGCGUGAUCAGCGGGGGGCCGGGGGGCGAGAGCGGGGACACAACCACCGAAUAUUCAGGUCCAGCCCUAUGCGACGGGAAGUUGUCUCCCUCCUGGCCGCUGUUGGGCGCCGUGCCAGCGGUGUGGGCACCGUAAUUGAUGGGCGGUACUAUGCGCCCUUUAUAUUCAGGUGUGCAGCGGUGGAACUUUCUGUCCUCCGCUCCCUGCUUGCUUCCGUGGUGGCUGUGGUUUGGCAUGACGGCGUUGGUGGACGCAGCCGUUCUCUGGUGUAUCCAGCUGUCAGACAGGCGCGCUGUCUGAAUAUACUUUUCUGUUCUUCCGCCUUCUUUUGUUUUUUGGCGUGUGAUUACAUCUGGUGAACACCGUAUCUCCACUCCUUCCAGCGUGGCUGAGUGCUGGGGUGAAUUCCCCGGGGCGAAACGGGGAUCUGCUGGACCCCUGCUGGGCAUAGGAUCACAGGCUCGCUGUAGUUGUGUGUACGUGUGUGUGAGGCGUAUUCUUGUGGCUCACACCCUCCAGUUGCCAGUUAACAUCCCGGCAUAAUCUGACUGCCACCAUCACUUCAAGCCGAGCUGCUGUUUUGGUUUUCUUUGAUAUUCGUCUGGUGAACUGUUUGUUUUUUUUUUUUUGGUUUUGUUUGUUUGCUGCGGCUUGUAGCGGACUUCUCAGCCCAGCACGGCCAAGUGCCGCCUGCGUCCGCUCCGUGCAGAGGCUGGUUGUGUCGCUGCUGUGCCAGAACCUGUACAGCUGCAAGGGCUAUUUCAGUUGAUGGCGUUUUGUUUUUCUUUGUUAUUUGGAAAUUCAUUUAGGUAUUUCCUUUUGGCAUUUUGGUUUGCUUUAUUGCAUUAGUUGGUUUAAUUGUCUUUUUUUGUUUUCUUUGUGAGUGAGGCGUCUCAUGUUUUGAUUUAAUUCAUCAUUUACUGUUCUUUGGUUUCGUUUUUUUUGUCCACACCGGUUAUGGUUAGUUUGGGCACGUUUUAUAAAUCUUUGUCUUCUAUUUACAGGUGCUGUGGCUUACUGCGGCAGUUAUUCCCUGGUGGCGGUGUCUCCUUUGGUCCCUCCUUUCCUUUGGUUUUUGUUUGUUUGUUUGUGUGUGUGUGUGUGUGUGUGUGUGUGUGUGUGUGUGUGUGUGUGUGUGUGUGUGUGUGUGUGUGUGUGUGUGUGUGUGUGUGUGUGUGUGUGUGUGUUUUAUUUGCAGUGUCACGGGUGAUUCAUUUGAGGAUUCCUCUCCCCUUUUGGUUAUCCUGCCGCAGGGUAAGCCCCAGCCCGGCUUUUUAUUCCUUGUUGCCCAUUCUUUCUUUUAGUUAGUAUAUGUUAACUGGUGUGUGACAUUAUUUCCUUACUUAUAAUUUGUUAAUAAAUAUUGUUAAAUUGGAACACGUCCCCCCCCCCCAGAAUACCUCAUUCUGUUGUUACAGUACCUCAUUCUACUGUUGUAGUGCCUCAUUCUACAGUUACAGUACCUCAUUCUACCGUUAAAGUACCUAAUUCUACUGUUAUAGUACCUCAUUCUUAAAUCCGAAAAAAACGCGGCAUUUUAUCCACAUUUGUUUUUCAUUCACACUGAAUCCUGAGAUUCUUGAGAUUCCUGAAAAGUGAAACCUGAAAGCAUUCUGUGGGGAAUGAAAAUUGUAUAAUACUAAUAAAAUUGCAGAAAAAAAAAUACAACUUAAAUGGAACAAAAACAGCCAUGGACACAGAUUUACUGACUCAGGAAGUACUUUCCUUUCUUGUUUAAGGUGGUAUAGCAAAGAAUUGACACACAAGUACAAUGAAGUAUGAAGAAAAGACAGAAAACAUUCUUAAACAGAAAUCAAACAAUGAACAAUAGCUUUAGGGUGAGCAGAGACAAACUGCAAGUUUAGAACCAGAGCCAAGAGCUGAUGUUCCACGGUAGACGGUCACAAGCUGACAGCAUGGUAGAGCUUCUGGAUGUUUAGCUAAAACCAAAAAAAGCAAGAGAUGUUAUUGAAGUGCACAUAUGUUAACUAACCAUGACUGACUAAUAUGUCAAAAGAAGUCUGUUCAGCAAUUUUCUGGUGAAUUAAUUCAAUUACUCAUAGUGGAGCUUAAAAUACCUCAUCUCUCAGUUGACCAGAGACCAAUGCCGUGAUUUCUGAGUAAUGCUAACACACUGAUGCAAAUAAUGACAGACAAUUAUUUAUGGCAAGUUGUCUUAGAUUAGAGUCCACUUCAUUCUGCUUGAACCUGCUGAUAGCUUUAACUUCCACUAGCAAGCUUCUCAGGGUCUAUGAGACCCGUAUGCCUUUACACCACAACAACAUAACUGUACAAGGAGAAUAUCUCCCUGAUCAAACACAACUUCAGCUUAAGCAGAGGUACUGUGUUGGCUGAAAAUGUCUUUGAAAGUGUAUUUCAUACACUUCAAUAAUUCAACUUUGGGAGAAAAAUUAUUCCUCUACGGCUCAGUCAAGCCACAAUUUGCCCACUGAAACGCUGCCUUUUACACUUCUCUGCUUAGCUGCUAUACCACUUCAGCUCCCCCUUUUCUACAGCAUUUAAGACAUUUCAGUGCAAUACAUACUUCAGUAAACUACCUUCAAAUUAUUAAUAUUCUAUAGAUUAUAAAUUAUUUGAUUCAACUAGAGUAACUUAACACAUUAAAAGUAUUUUUCAAAUGAUCAGGGCUUUAAUGCUGAUGCAGUAAUGUCUCAGUGCUAUCCUGGACACAUAAAGCUGUGAUAUCACUGGGUGAUAUCACUGGGUGUUUAACAGGUGUAACAGAGCAGAAUUUUGACCACACUGUUUUGCAGAGUGAAACUUUCAGCCACAGAAAGCAUAAGUAACCCAUGCAUAUCUCUUACAAAUUAUUCUUAUUAAAUUGACUUCGUUUGUUUUAACUAUAUCUUUCAUCCCUAAAAGAAAUAAUGGCUUGCUCUGCCUUAAGAUAUAGACAUUGAAUAUGUUACUUUUAUUAAAAAGAACAAGUAUAUACUGUUCUUACUCUGAAAUGCAAUAGUUGUUUUUAGGGACAUUAAAGGAAAUUUAGACUGCCAGGCUCAAUAAGCAUGCUUUCUUUCCACUCAGAAAUGACUUAUAUCAUUACUUACAUCGAUGUCAUGUCAUUGAGUGCGUGGUCAAGUUCCUCACUGAUGGCUUUGUACUUGAGCUUUUGUGCAUAAAGCUCAUCUGUAUGUACAAACAUGCACCAAGUGUUACAAAACAGACAAUUUUAACAGGGAGACGAUACGGUCAUGUAUUAAAAUAUAGAAUGAAAGUAACUAGAAAAAUAUAAACUUGUAUAGUGGAGACGUAUUAUCAGGCACUGUCAAUGUAAGGCAUCACCCUAGUUCCUCUUUUGGUAAAAACACAACCAGGAGCAAUUUUUCAAAGGUUGCAGUGUGAUGCACAGAAGAAGCUGCAUUAACUGAUACAAUCAAAUGUAGGUGUAGAAUUGCUGUGGUUCGUUUCUGUAGCAUCAAUUUUGAGUAGCCGAUGAGAAUUUUUAGAACUGUCACAGCCACAGCUUAAGCUGUGGGUUGUGGUAGUGCUCUCUCCUCCUCCGGCCCUACUCUCUCUCUCUCCUAGGUGUGUGUGGCGUUGAAGCUGGCAGCAGGUGUGGAUCAUCAUAAUCAGCAGAUCUGGUGCAGGUGGGAGCCGCUGAUUGUCACUCUGGCUUCUCCAUAAAAGCAGACCUCACCUGUCCAUCAAAGCUGGACGGUCGUCUAAUCUCCAAGGUUGACUCCUGCCUGCUGUCUGCUACCUGGAUUUCCUGGGUUUCCGUUGCCUGCUGCUUCUCCGUUCCUCUAAGGAUUCUGCUAACCACCUUCUGCCAGCUUGCCUUGGGAUGAAUUCCAUCAUUGAGGACGUCAGUUACUGCCUAUUCUACAGAUGCCAUUCUGCCAACUCUGCAUUAACAACUGGGAGCACAGAAGUUGGAGAGAGCCCUGUCCAAGUCUGACAUUUUCCCCCUCAUUAGAGUCAGCUAAGUUUUCAAACCCUAGUAACACCAGACUAUCAGUUUCUUCAGUAGUUUAUUUGUUGAAAUAAUUAGAUCACUUUUCUGUGUAGACUAUUAGUAGAAUUGUUAUGCGUUUCAUAGAAAAGUAUUUAGUCUUGGGGUUUUCAGGUUUCACGGUUACUGUAAUCUUAGUUUUUGUUUAGUCGUAUUUUGAUUUGUUUUCCUGCUUUGGUUAUUCCAAAUGUGGGUUAACCGUUUAUUCAGUUAUUCUGAUUGUAGUUAGUCUUCUGCACCACUAGAGGUUUCAUAGAUCAGUUCUGUCUUUAGAGGUUUUGUAGUUCUUCUGGUUCUAGGUUUACAGUUCUGGUUGUCAUUUGUAGUUCUAUAUGUGCUAUUGUAAAUAAAAGCAUUGUUAAAACUA